UACCUGCAGAAGAAGCACCGGCUAACUACGUGCCAGCAGCCGCGGUAAUACGUAGGGUGCAAGCGUCGUCCGGAAUUAUUGGGCGUAAAGAGCUCGUAGGCGGUUUGUCGCGUCUGCUGUGAAAACUCAAGGCUCAACCUUGGGCUUGCAGUGGGUACGGGCAGACUAGAAUAUGGUAGGGGAGACUGGAAUUCCUGGUGUAGCGGUGGAAUGCUCAGAUAUCAGGAGGAACACCGAUGGCGAAGGCAGGUCUCUGGGCCAUUAUUGACGCUGAGGAGCGAAAGCAUGGGGAGCGAACAGGAUUAGAUACCCUGGUAGUCCAUGCCGUAAACGUUGGGCACUAGGUGUGGGGCUCAUUCCACGAGUUCCGUGCCGCAGCUAACGCAUUAAGUGCCCCGCCUGGGGAGUACGGCCGCAAGGCUAAAACU
rnacentral:rRNA from 1 species